ACGUGGGCGUGCUUACGCACGCUCGCGCGUGCACACACACACACACACGUGACUACAAUAUUUCCCAGCCAGAAAGUUCAUAUAUAUACUAACUAGCUCCUCCCCUGCCUCUUAGAGCAGUCUGUCCUGCGAAGGCUAUUUUCCAAGCUAUAGUCCUCAGUAAGGUUCCUGAAUAAAACUUGACUCACAGCUUUCACGUCAUUUGUUUUUCUUUAGAUAGACACCUUUGACCCCAGGAGGAUAUUGGCUGACAGCCUCCAUGUGUUGUACCUGCAGGAUCCAGCACCACAUUCACAGCCUAGGCCUCUCACCGUGACUGAUAGUGAGUGGACUUGAGGAGGACCAUUCUGGCCAGCGGGGACUCCUCACAGCUGACUCACCAGCCUGGUGUUUCCUCCUAAUAAAACCUUGUACAUCUCCACUCCGUCACAGUAUCUGCUUUUCAGAGGAACUGAACUGAACAGUUGGUACUAGCAAAUGGUCUGAGAAGGCAGCCUCUAGGGCAGAGAGUGGAUUGCUCACUGGCCGGCAAGGAAAACCCCAACCUCAGUGGGAUGUGGGCCGCAAAUCGUCCCUGGCACAAGGUGGUGUCUCAGCUGCUGACUAUUUCACAGAUGAUGGCCUGAGGAAACAUACCCAGUGCAGAAAAUCAAGCUUACCUAUGCAAUGAAUGAGGCCUUUAAAGACACGAGAGCCAGCGCCUGCAAAGACAAGGGCUAGUCUUUACAAGUGAAUGGAAGCCCUUCAGAGGGAUAACUAGAAACUGAAGGCAGCUAAUGAGAAGUUCAAGGCUAAGUAUGAGAGCCAGUGUAUGCUUGUGGUGGUACUUCUUACAAAGCCAUCCUUAUCUCCCUGCAGUGGCAGAGAACACAGCUCAGGAGCAAUCACGGGACUUUGCAGAUUUACAACUGGGAGCCACAGAGAUGAUUAAACACUCUGUUACACUAAGGUCCGAGCCCUGAAACGUGGGAUGGGGACAUCUAGGUGGAUGUACCCCAGUAUUGAGGCUCAACACACCCCCAAUUCUGUGCUCACUGUCCUACCACCAGCCCCAAACUACAGAGAGGAGCCAGCACUGAAGUUCUUGGUGAUGCUGGUACCUCUCUCACCAGAUGCUGCUUUGCAGACCCUCAGGUCCAGCACUUCCCAGCUGUAUUGUGUUGGGAUGUAAUAACAGUUAUCUGCCUAGCAGCCAGGAGAGGAAACGGGGACAACUCUGAGGGCUAUUCAUUGGGCUGUGGUAGAAAAGCUUCAGUAGGGGCUUACUGUUGUAGGAGAAAUGAGGCAAAAAAGGAUGAUCGUGUCCCAAGUCUUAGGUGAGCCCCUCCAUCAGGCCACCAAGUCAGGGUCCUUGGCUUUGAACAGCAAAGAACUCAAGAGCGAGCCUUAAGGAAGUAAAAGCAGUUUUAUUCAGGGAGAUACGCAUUCAAAGACAGAGCAUGGGCCAUCUCGAAAGCCAGACUUGCACUCUGGGCACGCAGUCAGGGUCUUGGAAAGUGAGAGUGGCCCUGAGGUGUGGGAGUGAUUGGUUUUUGUGGUUUGUUUUGUUUUUAUGUUAUGGUGGUGAAAGUCAUCUAAUAUAAAACAUUAUUUUAACCAUAUUUAUCUAUAC
ensembl:lncRNA